rnacentral:rRNA from 1 species
GUAGGUGGCAAGCGUUGUCCGGAAUUAUUGGGCGUAAAGCGCGCGCAGGCGGUUCUUUAAGUCUGAUGUGAAAGCCCACGGCUCAACCGUGGAGGGUCAUUGGAAACUGGAGAACUUGAGUACAGAAGAGGAAAGCGGAAUUCCACGUGUAGCGGUGAAAUGCGUAGAGAUGUGGAGGAACACCAGUGGCGAAGGCGGCUUUCUGGUCUGUAACUGACGCUGAGGCGCGAAAGCGUGGGGAGCAAACAGGAUUAGAUACCCUGGUAGUCCACGCCGUAAACGAUGAGUGCUAAGUGUUAGGGGGGUUUUCCGCCCCCCUUAAUACUGCAGCUAACGCAUUAAGCACUCCGCCUGGGGAGUACGGCCGCAAGGCUG